rnacentral:rRNA from 1 species
UACGUAGGGGGCAAGCGUUGUCCGGAAUUAUUGGGCGUAAAGAGCGCGUAGGCGGUCCGAUAAGUCGGCUGUGAAAGUCAAGGGCUCAACCCUUGAAAGCCGGCCGAUACUGUCGGACUAGAGUCCGGAAGAGGCGAGUGGAAUUCCCGGUGUAGCGGUGAAAUGCGCAGAUAUCGGGAGGAACACCAGUGGCGAAGGCGGCUCACUGGACCGGUACUGACGCUGAGGCGCGAAAGCGUGGGGAGCAAACGGGG